CCUACGGGAGGCUGCAGUGGGGAAUAUUGGACAAUGGGCGAAAGCCUGAUCCAGCCAUGCCGCGUGUGUGAAGAAGGCCUUCGGGUUGUAAAGCACUUUCAGUGGGGAAGAAAGCCUUGGUGCUAAUACCCUCGAGGAAGGACAUCACCCACAGAAGAAGCACCGGCUAACUCCGUGCCAGCAGCCGCGGUAAUACGGAGGGUGCGAGCGUUAAUCGGAAUUACUGGGCGUAAAGCGCGCGUAGGCGGUCUGAUAAGCCGGUUGUGAAAGCCCCGGGCUCAACCUGGGAACGGCAUCCGGAACUGUCAGGCUAGAGUGCAGGAGAGGAAGGUAGAAUUCCCGGUGUAGCGGUGAAAUGCGUAGAGAUCGGGAGGAAUACCAGUGGCGAAGGCGGCCUUCUGGACUGACACUGACGCUGAGGUGCGAAAGCGUGGGUAGCAAACAGGAUUAGAUACCCUGGUAGUUC
rnacentral:rRNA from 1 species